AAUGAUGGAAAGGAAGGGCCAGGUGAGAGCUAUUCCUCGCGCUUACUUCUAGGAGGUGAUGGGCGAGCCCAUCGGGAUGUUUGGAUACAAGGUACUAAACUUUAGGAGGGGUCACAUCGAAUGUUCGGAUGCUAAUUAGGAGGACUAAACAUGAGCUAAUUAUAAAACUAACUGCAGAACCCCUAUACUAAUUCGCGAGACGAAUCUAUUAAGCCUAAUUAAUCCAUCAUUAGCAAAUGGUUACUGUAGCACCACAUUAUCAAAUCAUGGACUAAUUAGGCUUAAUAGAUUCGUCUCGCGAAUUAGACUCCAUCUGUGUAAUUAGUUUUGUAAUUAGACUAUAUUUAAUACUCCUAUAAUACUCCUAAUUAGUAUCCAAACAUCCGAUGUGACGGGUACUAAAUUAUGCGGUGUAUCCAAAC
rnacentral:lncRNA from 1 species